AAGUCGUAACAAGGUUUCCGUAGGUGAACCUGCGGAAGGAUCAUUAAGGAGUAUAAGACGAAGCUUCGGCUUCUGACUCCCCAUCCUUUGCUUACCAUCCCCCAUACUUCGGCGGGCGAUAUAGAGGGAAUGAACUUCUAGCGAUAGAGGAUCCUCCCUCUGUCCCAGCUCGCCGGCAUUACAAAACCUCAAGCUAUAACAGUGCUGUCUGAGCUUUUGCAAGCAAAAGAAUAAAA
rnacentral:misc_RNA from 1 species